AAAGCGUGCGCAGGCGGUAAUGUAAGACAGAUGUGAAAUCCCCGGGCUCAACCUGGGAACUGCAUUUGUGACUGCAUUGCUGGAGUGCGGCAGAGGGGGAUGGAAUUCCGCGUGUAGCAGUGAAAUGCGUAGAUAUGCGGAGGAACACCGAUGGCGAAGGCAAUCCCCUGGGCCUGCACUGACGCUCAUGCACGAAAGCGUGGGGAGCAAACAGGAUUAGAUACCCCGGU
rnacentral:rRNA from 1 species